AUGAACGCUGGCGGUAUGGCUAAGGCAUGCAAGUCUAAAGGUUUACUUCGGUAGACCUUGGCAAACGGGAGAGUAACACAUUGAUAAUCUACCCUGAAGACGAGGAUAACCCCGAGAAAUUGGGAAUAAUACUCGAUAGUGUACGACUGAUUAAUUCUAUCGUACUAAAGUUCCAACGCUUCAGGAGGAGUCUAUGUCCUAUCAGCUUGUUGGUGAGGUAAAAGCUCACCAAGGCUAUGACAGGUAGCGGGUGUGAGAGCAUGGCCCGUCUCACUGGGACUGAGAACUGCCCAGACUCCUACGGGAGGCUGCAGUCACGAAUCUUCCUCAAUGGCCGAAAGGCUGAAGGAGCAAUACCGCGUGGUUGAUGAAGCCCUUCGGGGUGUAAAAAUCUUUUAUUAGGGACGAAACAAUGACGGUACCUAAUGAAUAAGGGGCUGCUAACCUCGU
rnacentral:rRNA from 1 species